rnacentral:rRNA from 1 species
GACGAACGCUGGCGGCGUGCUUAACACAUGCAAGUCGAACGCUGAAGCUUGGUGCUUGCACUGGGUGGAUGAGUGGCGAACGGGUGAGUAAUACGUGAGUAACCUGCCCUUGACUCUGGGAUAAGCCUGGGAAACUGGGUCUAAUACUGGAUACGACAUGCCACUGCAUGGUGGUGUGUGGAAAGGGUUUUACUGGUUUUGGAUGGGCUCACGGCCUAUCAGCUUGUUGGUGGGGUAAUGACCUACCAAGGCGACGACGGGUAGCCGGCCUGAGAGGGUGACCGGCCACACUGGGACUGAGACACGGCCCAGACUCCUACGGGAGGCAGCAGUGGGGAAUAUUGCACAAUGGGCGGAAGCCUGAUGCAGCGACGCCGCGUGAGGGAUGACGGCCUUCGGGUUGUAAACCUCUUUCAGCACGGAAGAAGCGAGAGUGACGGUACGUGCAGAAGAAGCGCCGGCUAACUACGUG